UAAUCCCAGCAGUUUGGGAGGCUGAGGCGGGCGGAUCACAAGGUCGGGAGAUCGAGACCAUCCUGGCUAACACGGUGAAACACCGUCUCUACUAAACAAAAUACAAAAACUUAGCCGGGCAUGGUGGUGGUCGCUCGUGGUCCGGGCUGCUUGGGCGGCUGAGGCAGGAGAAUGGCGUGAACCCUGGAAGCAGAGCUUGCAGUGAGCCGAGAUCGUGCCACUGCACUCCAACCUGGGCGA
rnacentral:sRNA from 1 species